rnacentral:rRNA from 1 species
GACGAACGCUGGCGGCGUGCUUAACACAUGCAAGUCGAACGGAAAGGCCCUGCUUUUGUGGGGUGCUCGAGUGGCGAACGGGUGAGUAACACGUGAGUAACCUGCCCUUGACUUUGGGAUAACUUCAGGAAACUGGGGCUAAUACCUGAUAGGAGCUCCUGCUGCAUGGUGGGGGUUGGAAAGUUUCGGCGGUUGGGGAUGGACUCGCGGCUUAUCAGCUUGUUGGUGGGGUAGUGGCUUACCAAGGCUUUGACGGGUAUCCGGCCUGAGAGGGUGACCGGCCACAUUGGGACUGAGAUACGGCCCAGACUCCUACGGGAGGCAGCAGUGGGGAAUAUUGCACAAUGGGCGGAAGCCUGAUGCAGCAACGCCGCGUGCGGGAUGACGGCCUUCGGGUUGUAAACCGCUUUCGCCUGUGACGAAGCGUGAGUGACGGUAAUGGGUAAAGAAGCACCGGCUAACUACGUG